GUGAUAAAAUCGAGCGUGUCUUCAUUGACCGCUCACCCUUCUCACCAUCCACAUACACCUGUGCACUGUUUAGCCUGAGCCGGUUUUCCGGUCCAGGUUAUCAUUUCAUACAAACUCUAGUCUUAUGAAUGUAAACGUUUUAAUAACAUAAUA
rnacentral:misc_RNA from 1 species